rnacentral:rRNA from 1 species
UACGAAGGGGGCUAGCGUUGUUCGGAAUUACUGGGCGUAAAGCGUGCGCAGGCGGCUUCUCAAGUCAGGGGUGAAAGCCCAGAGCUCAACUCUGGAAUUGCCUUUGAGACUGAGUGGCUUGAGUACGAGAGAGGUGAGUGGAAUUCCCAGUGUAGAGGUGAAAUUCGUAGAUAUUGGGAAGAACACCGGUGGCGAAGGCGGCUCACUGGCUCGUAACUGACGCUCAUGCACGACAGCGUGGGGAUCGAACAGG